rnacentral:tRNA from 1 species
GUUGUGGGUCAAUGGUAGAACAUUUGCUCGGUAUGUAGGAGGUCCUAGGUUCAAUCCCCAACAUCUCCA